rnacentral:lncRNA from 1 species
ACCCGUGCCGCCUCAGGUCAGAGCCGGGCUCCUGGGCACGCUACAAGGCAGCGAGGCACCAGCCGCAGCCUGAGGGCUUCUGGGACUGCCCAGGCGUCACCAUGGUCCUUCCCUGGGGUGGGGGACCGGGAGCUCGCAGAACUACACACCCUCGGCGGCCCUCGGAGUCCUAGACCGUGGCAGGUGCCACCCUCGGGGACAGCCUUGGCAGCUCCCCUGGCUGGGAGCAAUCAGGGGGUGAGGGGGCCAGGCUGGUCUCACAGGGGGUGAGAGAGAGCAGGUGAGUCUGGGGCAGGAGACCCAGGCUCUCCCAGUCACCCCUGCCCCACCCCCGAGCUCCUUCCUGGUCUGCCCAGUGCAGGAGUGACCACACUGGGUUCAGAGCCCCAGGUGGGUGGGCGAGAGGGCUUCGGGACUCUGGAAAAAUUGUGGUUUGUGUCUGGGGGAGGACAAAGGGGCCCCCAUUCCCAGGAGACCAUUGGGGGCUGUGGGCCAGGGUGGGAGGGAGAGCUGGGCCCCGCUAAUCUCAGAGCGUCUGGGAGGGGCGGGGGCCGUGAUAGGAGCCCCUUUGCAGAAUGUGUCCCUGCCUGCCUGUGUCAGAGGGAAGCCAGAAAGAACAGGUAAUGCCAGAAAAAAAAGGACCCCCCAACCCUCCCCCAAUCCCAGCAACCCCCUUCCUCCCAGUGCCCAGCUGGGGAGCGUCUGGCCCUCUGCUGCCUCCCGAUGUCCUGUGCGAGAAGAGUGAGAUUCAGUCCAAAGAAGUGUUUGUGGGAUGCCGGCUCUGCAGGGGCUCGCCCCACAGGAGGCCAGGUCCACGUCCAGCCCGGUGGUGGGGCCGGCGGCGGUGGGGGCGGGGGCGGAAGCCGGCGGCCCCUCCAAGGGCUCGCUGGGGAGUGCGGGGCUCCGGGGUGGCUCGGGUUUUCCGCGCCUAGGAAAGGAUGCGUGUUUUUGUUUUUCCCCCUGGAGGAGAAGGUAAGGGGAGAACGUGUCAUACGCGGCCAGCAACACACAAGUUCCGGGAAGAGC